GAGUUUGAUCAUGGCUCAGGAUGAACGCUGGCGGCGUGCCUAACACAUGCAAGUCGAACGAAGCGCCUGAUCAGAUUUCUUCGGAAAGAAGAUUUAGCGACUGAGUGGCGGACGGGUGAGUAACGCGUGGGCAACCUGCCUCAUACAGGGGGAUAACAGCCGGAAACGGCUGCUAAUACCGCAUAAGCGCACAGGACCGCAUGGUCCGGUGUGAAAAACCCCGGUGGUAUGAGAUGGGCCCGCGUCUGAUUAGCCAGUUGGCGGGGCAGCGGCCCACCAAAGCGACGAUCAGUAGCCGACCUGAGAGGGUGACCGGCCACAUUGGGACUGAGACACGGCCCAAACUCCUACGGGAGGCAGCAGUGGGGAAUAUUGCACAAUGGGGGAAACCCUGAUGCAGCGACGCCGCGUGAGCGAAGAAGUAUUUCGGUAUGUAAAGCUCUAUCAGCAGGGAAGAAGAAAGUGACGGUACCUGACUAAGAAGCACCGGCUAAAUACGUGCCAGCAGCCGCGGUAAUACGUAUGGUGCAAGCGUUAUCCGGAUUUACUGGGUGUAAAGGGAGCGCAGGCGGUACGGCAAGUCUGAUGUGAAAGCCCGGGGCUCAACCCCGGUACUGCAUUGGAAACUGUCGGACUAGAGUGUCGGAGGGGUAAGCGGAAUUCCUAGUGUAGCGGUGAAAUGCGUAGAUAUUAGGAGGAACACCAGUGGCGAAGGCGGCUUACUGGACGACAACUGACGCUGAGGCUCGAAAGCGUGGGGAGCAAACAGGAUUAGAUACCCUGGUAGUCCACGCCGUAAA
rnacentral:rRNA from 1 species